GGUGAAUAUACUAUCGACAGUACAGCAAUAAACACAAUAUUGAAGUGCUGUAAUGUGUUACCUCUUUCAUCGUUGACAUCAUGGUAUAGUGGUAAACACCGUGGCCAUAAUGAGAGAAAGUUGUGGAGCAUUCCCAGGUAAAAGUCACAUAACUUUUCCUAUAAUUUUUUUUUAUUUCUUUUUGCCGUUAUUUUAGUCUCCAAGUCGCUCUUCAUAACAGCUUAAUACUCAUAUUUUGAUAAUACUUUGUAUAUUUAGACAAUUUUGAGUCGAUUUUACUGAACGACGCGGUGUAGAGAAUUCUUAUGCGUGGUGAAUAUACUGUCUACAGUACAGCAAUAAACACAACAUUGAAGUGCUGUAAUUUGUUACCUCUUUCAUCGUUGACAUCAUGGUAUAGUGGUAAACACGGUGGCCAUAAUAAGCGAAAGUUGUGGAGCAUUCCCAGGUAAAAGUCUCAUAACUUUUCCUAUAAUUUUUUCUUUAUUUCUUUUUGCCGUUAUUUAGUCUCCAAGUCGCUCUUCAUCACAGCUUAAUUCUCAUAUUUUGAUAAUACUUUGUAUAUUUAGACAAUUUUGAAUCGAUUUAACUGAACGACGCGAUGUAGCGAAUUCUUAUGCGGGGUGAAUAUACUGUCUACAGUACAGCAAUAAACACAACAUUGAAGUGCUGUAAUUUGUUACCUGUUUCAUCGUUGACAUCAUGGUAUAGUGGUAAACAUCGUGGCCAUCUUGUGCGAAAGUUGUGGACCAUUCCCAGGUAAAAGUCUCGUAACUUUUCGUAUUGUUUUUUUUU